rnacentral:lncRNA from 1 species
CAACUUAAGUGUCUUAUGUGAUUUCAGGCGUCUGAUCUGAUGCAACUUUCUGAUCCAAACAACGAGCUGUUCUAGAACUAUAUCUACAAUCUUCCCCUUUUUUACUUCGUUUGAUAAUAAAGCAUCCAUUUGGUUAAACCUGAAAAGACACUCCAACAAACACAAGCCGAAAGACAAAGCAAGCAACAACUAGAAAAAACACAAUCAUUAUCUAGCAUAACCAGUCAGCAGCUUGUUUAAACAGAACUAUGCUUAAGAACCUAAAAAUCAGAAACCACAACAGGCUGCAGCGGAAACCAUGUUCUUAAUAGUUCUCUGAAAACAGACUCAAUCCAUUGAUAUAUUAAUCUAUUAGUGCUUUGAUUCUUUUAUACAGACUCUUAAGGCCUAGCUUA